rnacentral:rRNA from 1 species
AUGUAAUAAAUUAUUAAUAAAAUAAUUUUUAUAUUUAAAUAAAAUAAGAAAAUUUAAUUUUAUUAUUAUUUAAGAAAAAAAAGUAAAUAAUUAUAGUUAAUUAGUAUUGUGAAAGAAAUUAUUAUUUAUAGUUUAAAGAAGAAUUAUUUUUUUGUACCUUGUGUAUCAGGGUUAAUUAAAUAUAUCUAAAAUUAGAUUUUUUCGAAUUUGAAAGAGCUAAGAAAAUAUUUUUUUAAUGUUAAAUAAUUAUUAUUAAUAUUUUUUUAGAAAUGAAACGUUAAACGUUUUCAAUUAUAUCUAGUUUUAAAAGAAAAUAAUUAAAUUAUUUUAUUAUAAAUAUUUUUUUAAAUUUUAAUUAAAUAUUAAUAAUAUUUAAUAUUUUUAGGGAUGAGCUUAAUAAUAAAACAUUAAAAAUAAUUAAAAUAAUAUAAAUUUAUAAGAUUAGAAGUGUCUAUUUGAAAAAUAAUGUUAUAAUUAAUUUAUUUAUAUAUAUAAUUUUUAUAGAAUUUUAAAUUUUUUAUUUUAAUAUAAUUUUUAAUUUAACAAAAUUAGAAAUAAUGAUUAAAUUAGUAUUUUUAUGUUUUAUUUUUAUUUUAAUAAAUAUAAGGUUAAAUAAAGGAAUUCGGCAAAAAAUUUUUUCACCUGUUUAUUAAAAACAUGUCUUUUUGUUAAAAAUUUAAAGUCUAGCCUGCCCACUGAAAAUUUUAAAGGCCGCAGUAUUUUGACUGUGCAAAGGUAGCAUAAUCAUUAGUUUUUUAAUUGGAAGCUGGAAUGAAAGGUUGGAUGAAAAAAAAACUGUCUCUAUUUAAUUUAUAAAAAAAUUUUAAUUUUAAGUUAAAAAGCUUAAAUUAUUUUAAAAGACGAGAAGACCCUAUAGAGUUUUAUAAAAUUUAAAUUUUAAUAUUUUUUAGAAUGUUUAAAUAUUAUUUUUUAAUUUUUUAUUUGAUUGGGGUGAUUGAAAAAUUAAAAAAACUUUUUUUAUAUAAAAACAUAAAUUAAUGAAAAUUUGAUCCAUUUAUUAUGAUUAAAAGAUAAAAUUACCUUAGGGAUAACAGCGUAAUUUUUUUUGAGAGUUCUAAUCGAAAAAAUAGAUUGCGACCUCGAUGUUGGAUUAAAAUUAAUUUUUGGUGUAGAAGCUAAAAAUGUUAGGUCUGUUCGACCUUUAAAAUUUUACAUGAUCUGAGUUUAAACCGGUGUGAGCCAGGUUGGUUUCUAUCUUUAAAUAUAAUUAAUAUUUUAGUACGAAAGGACCAAAUAUUAAAAAUAAUUUUUAAAAUUUGAUUAUUAUU